AAGUCAUUCCUACCGGCCCUUCUAAAGGCCAGACAUUCUUUUUGCCACUUUGUAACAAUUGCUGUAUUGCUGAUGCUACUCAUUCCAAUUUCCAAGGUGACGCAGUCACACAAUCAUGCUCCAAAAUGUCUCGAUCGACAAGAAAGCGUAAAAAAGAGGUUGAACAAACCGGUUGUCCUGUAUGGUUGCGCCUCUAUCGCCCUCCACCGUGUCAC
rnacentral:lncRNA from 1 species